ACUUUCAACAACGGAUCUCUUGGCUCUCGCAUCGAUGAAGAACGCAGCGAAAUGCG
rnacentral:rRNA from 1 species